UACUAUGAUUACAUCCAUAAUGCGUCAGGACACACGAGUGUGUACGUGACUGUUGGAUUCUAACGCGACGCCGUAAGCAAUAUGAUCA
rnacentral:ncRNA from 2 species